rnacentral:rRNA from 1 species
UACGGGGGGGGCAAGCGUUGUUCGGAAUUACUGGGCGUAAAGGGCCAGUAGGCGGCCAACUAAGUCGGAUGUGAAAUCCCCAGGCUUAACCUGGGAACUGCAUCCGAUACUGGAUGGCUUGAAUUCGGGAGAGGGAUGCAGAAUUCCAGGUGUAGCGGUGAAAUGCGUAGAUAUCUGGAGGAAUACCGGUGGCGAAGGCGGCAUCCUGGACCGACAUUGACGCUGAGGAGCGAAAGCCAGGGGAGCAAACGGG